GCCUUCGUAGUGUAAUAGUCAGCCCACUCAGCACGCAUUUGAGAGGUCCGUGGUUCGAGUCCCGGCAAGGGCA
rnacentral:tRNA from 1 species